UACGGGGGGGGCAAGCGUUAUUCGGAAUUACUGGGCGUAAAGCGUGCGUAGACGGUUAUUUAAGUCGGGUGUGAAAGCCCCGGGCUCAACCUGGGAAUUGCAUUCGAGACUGCGUAGCUAGGGUGCGGAAGAGGGAAGCGGAAUUUCCGGUGUAGCGGUGAAAUGCGUAGAGAUCGGGAGGAACACCCGUGGCGAAGGCGGCCAUCUGGACCAGCACGUGACGCUGAGGAGCGAAAGCGUGGGGAGCAAACAGGG
rnacentral:rRNA from 1 species